rnacentral:rRNA from 1 species
AUGCACCAUGAGCGCAUCCUCGCGCGCGUCGCUGUCGCCCGGUGCGAGGUGGUCGAGCAGCCGCGAGUCCGGCCUGUCCGCGUGACGUCGGCCACCGACAGUUCCGUCGCCGCGAGGAAGAGGGCCACAGCGUCCUCGCCAGUCCCUCCUCCGCGGCCAGGCUGUAGCGAUGGCGGCCGCCGGCUCCUCCUCCGCGGUCCGUUGCUGGGGCCGCGUGGUAGCGCCGUGCAAGUGGCCUUCGCCAAUGCCCUGGUACGCGUGCGCGAGCUCCAGGGCCUCGCACUUGGCCUCACGGAGCUGCACGCACAGCCGCUCCUCUCCCUCCUCCGCUGCCUCGGCGCGCAGCCUCCAGCUCCUCCCACUCCAGCUCGGCGUUCCAGGACUAGCGCCUCCGUCUCGCCCUUCGCUGGCGCAGCUCCGGCCUUCCUGCCGUUCUUCCAGCCCGAGACCGGCGACGCGACCGCAAUGGAGAUGAACGGCGUGCAAGAGGGGCCAAGCAGAGGUGCACGGUGGAGUCCGGCUCGAACCCCGCCGCGUGGGUGCGGCUCCGCCACGCCUUGGCAACCAGCGCCUCGAACGCCGGCCCGCGCGUGCUCGCCUGCAGCGUCCGCGACCAGCUCCGCCUGGCACUCAUCUACCUCCGCCGCCUCGGCUUCCGGGACAACCGCGCGCUCGCGUUCCAGGACCCCAUCCUCCUCGUCUCCAGCGUGGAGCGGACCAUGGCGCCCAAGCUGGAGUACCUGCCGCGGACCCCAUCCUCCUCGUCUCCAACGUGGAGCAGUACUUCACCUUCAGCAUCGAGAAGCGGAUCGCGCCGCCGCCGCUGCCGGACAUGCUCAAGGCCACCGACGAGGAGAGAGCGAGUGUGGAACCGGCUCGGUAGUUAAGCAGCUCUUUUUUCUCAAUUCAGAUGCUUCAAAGGUGCUGCACUUGAUGUUUCAGUUUGAAACACCCCCAGAUCCUCAUCUGAUGGACAUUCUGUCAUGCAGAUAA